CGUGUAGGCGGCUAAGCAAGUCAGAGGUGAAAGCCCUGGGCUCAACCUGGGAACUGCCUUUGAAACUGCUUGGCUUGAGACCGGAAGAGGAUGGCGGAAUUCCCAGUGUAGAGGUGAAAUUCGUAGAUAUUGGGAAGAACACCGGUGGCGAAGGCGGCCAUCUGGUCCGGAUCUGACGCUGAGGCGCGAAAGCGUGGGGAGUAAACA
rnacentral:rRNA from 1 species